rnacentral:rRNA from 1 species
AUGGUAAAAAAACAAAAACAAAAAGCUGGAGUCCGGUGCGCACACACACACACCAACGGAUGUUCUUGCCUGGAAGUAGCGCUGCAUUUUGUCUCGUUAGGCACCCACCAAUCGUGCUGGGUUUAUAAAACUCGGCAUGUCGCUGUCCCGUGGUCGGCAACGCGACUAUGGUUCCAUCGCCAAGAUCAUGGCAGCGAAGUGGUCAAGCUGUUCGACGUGUUGUGUCACCAUUUUUUCAGACUUCAGAGAGUAACAUAUAUCAUGGUGGCCCGGCUUCUGAGCAAGCAGUGGACAGUUGACAUGUUCUUGCCGGACCGAGUGAAAGUGAGCAGUACAAGUAAGCGCGUUGUGACAUGCAGACGCGUUGGAGAUGAUGGAAAAAGAACAGGAGAUCAAAAUGUUCAGAUGAAGGACGUGCGUGCCAGCAACUAG